UCCGUUCCGGAUGCUAGAGAUUUUUCGUGACGUACUUCCUGUUUAGCGUCGGCAGACGAUCUUCGAGGCACGCACGCAAAAUACGGAGUGGCUAUGUUGCCAAAUGCUUCCAUUUCGGGAAACGAUUUCAAGAUACCUGCCCUGAUCCAAAUCGGACGCCUGAACAGUCUACAAAAUUACCCAUUGUAAUUCCAGAAAGGAAUAAGACGGCACGCGUCACUGGCACCUACGCGUGCCACCUGGCGGACAUCUUUUCGUGCAUGACGACCGCGUUUCUUCGUCGCCAGAGGUCGACACGCUUCAAGAGGUUCAUGCGGCUGUGUGGGUGGUAAUAAGUAAAGAUGUCUAGAAAAAGA